GCAGCAGGGGUUUGACUUUGGAAUAUUCAAAAUGGCCGCCGUUACCAUGGAAACAGCAAAAAUAUGAAAAACUUCAAAAUGCUUCAAAUUUAAGGAAACUUAUAACAAAUGUUGCCUAGCUUAUGUAGACUUGACUUUUGAGUUUGGAAUUUUCAAAAUGGCCGCCGUUACCAUGGAAACAGCAAAAAUAUCCAAAAUUUCAAAAUGCUUCAAACUUAAUGAAACUUUGCAAAAAUGUUACUAGACAUCUGUAGAUGCACUAUUUGACUUUGGAAUUUUCAAAAUGGCUGCCGCUCACCUGGCAAUGGGGGAAGGGUGCCAUCCGUUAUUGCUAGCAAUUACAAAUCUAGUUAUUAUGUCACCCGAUCGACAAUGUCGGGUGACAUAUUGCUUUUCCUCCGUUUCUUUGUUAUUAUGGCACCCUCAACGGAGUUGGGUGACGUAUUGUUAUUCUACGUUUCUUUUUUUUAUUAUGGCACCCUCAACGGAGUUGGGGUGACAUAUUGUUAUUGUUCGUUUCUUUUUGUCUUAUUAUUAUUAUAUUUAUUCUUCCACACUUUUUUGUCCAUACUAUUUCUCAAAAUUGGCCUUAAACAAUAUUGAUGGAACUAUACCAUAAUGUUGACCACCACAUUAAAUAGUGCAGUGAGGUAUGGCAUCAUCAAGAUGGCUGCCGUUGCCAUGGAAACGAAACAAAUGUGAAAAAAUUCCAGUUUUUGUUUUGGUGAACUGUUUGAAUAUGCUUAACUCAGAAUCAUUAUAUUUUAAUACAAUGUAGGUGCCCACUAUAUACAGGUGUUGGAUGAUUUUGGCACUCAUUGGAACUACUAUGUUGCCAUGGAAACUACACCAAAAAAUUUCAAAAAUAUCAAAAUGCUCCAAACUUCAUGAAACUUCACAGUAACGAUGAGCAACAUUGGAAGAUGUGGAAUUUGGCGUUGGAAUUUCCAAAAUAUCUGUUGUUACCAUGGAAACAAUGCAAAAAGGUCAAAACUUUGAAUUUUCACAGAACAUUCCAGAACAUCAAUGUUAAAUUUAUUCUAGAGACAUUAAAUGGUAUAUAUGAUUAUGGAGGGAAAAAAUUGCAGCGGGGUUUGACUUUGGAAUAUUCAAAAUGGCCGCCGUUACCAUGGAAACAGCAAAAUUAUGAAAAACUUCAAAAUGCUUCAAAUUUAAUGAAACUUAUAACAAAUGUUGCCUAGCUUAUGUAGACUUAACUUUUGAGUUUCGAAUUUUCAAAAUGGCCGCCGUUGCCAUGGAAACAGCAAAAAUUUUGUAAAUGGCUGCCGCUGGCCUGGCAAUGGGGAAAGGGUGCCAUCCGCUAUUGCUUGCAAUGGCAAAUCUAGUUAUUAUUAUUAUUUUUUUAUUCUUCCACACUUUUUUGUCCAUUCUAUUUCUCGGAAUUGGCUUGAACAAUAUUGAUGGAACUAUACCAUAAUGUAGACCACCACAUUCUAUAGUGCAGUGGGGUAUGGCACCAUCAAGAUGGCUGCCGUUGCCAUGGAAACGAAACAAAUGUGAAAAAAUCCUGUUUUUUGUUUUGGUGAACUGUUUUGGAUAUGCUUAAACUCAGAACCAUUAUAUUUUGAUACAAUGUAGGUGCCGGCCAUAUACAGGUGUUGGAUGAUUUUGGCACUCAUUGGAACUACUAUGUUGCCAUGGAAACUACACCAAAAAUUUCAAAAAUAUCAAAAUGCUCCAAACUUCAUGAAACUUCACAGUAACGAUGAGCAACAUUGGAAGAUGUGGAAUUUGGCGUUGGAAUUUCCAAAAUAUCUGUU
rnacentral:lncRNA from 1 species